rnacentral:lncRNA from 1 species
UGCUGGAAGGUGCCUGAGCUCAAAUGGCCCAGCAUUUACCAGGCCCUCCAGUGCCAUGAGCUCGAUUUUGUGUCUGCUCUCAGAGAGAAGCCAGAUUUGUCUGUUACCGGCUUUGACUUGCUCCCUGUCAGUUUCCACAGCCCUGAAAGGGAAGUUGAGCUGCUGGAAAGAAAGAGACUCUCACCCUGGAGGGGUUUCUUGCCUGAGUGCUAAGGACCUCGACCUCUGCGCUUGGCCAGUGUAAUGGAAGGGUCUGACUGAGAUUAAGGCUUGUCCCUGAGGCACAGAAAAGAACAAGAUGAGAAAUGAUCUCAGUCCCUGUGGGCUCAUCCUGCAGCAAUUAGAGCUGAAAUUUCAGAGAACAA